AGGUGCUGCAUGGUUGUCGUCAGCUCGUGUCGUGAGAUGUUGGGUUAAGUCCCGCAACGAGCGCAACCCUUAUCGUUAAUUGCCAUCAUUCAGUUGGGCACUUUAGCGAGACUGCCGGUGAUAAACCGGAGGAAGGUGGGGAUGACGUCAAAUCAGCAUGGCCCUUACGCCUAGGGCUACACACGUGUUACAAUGGACAGUACAGAGGGCCGCAAACCAGUGAUGGCUAGCAAAUCUCAAAAAGCUGUUCUCAGUUCGGAUAGCAGUCUGCAACUCGACUGCUUGAAGUCGGAAUCUCUAGUAAUCGCAGAUCAGCAUGCUGCGGUGAAUGCGUUCCCGGGUCUUGUACACACCGCCCGUCACACCACGGAAAUUUGCUACGCCCGAAGCCACUUAUUAGUGUCUAAGGCAGGGUAGGUAACUGGGGUGAAGUCGUAACAAGGUA
rnacentral:rRNA from 1 species